GAUGAACGCUGGCGGCGUGCUUAACACAUGCAAGUCGAACGAUGAAGCCCAGCUUGCUGGGUGGAUUAGUGGCCAACGGGUGAGUAACACGUGAGUAACCUGCCCUUAACUCUGGGAUAAGCCUGGGAAACUGGGUCUAAUACCGGAUAGGAGCGCCUACCGCAUGGUGGGUGUUGGAAAGAUUUAUCGGUUUUGGAUGGACUCGCGGCCUAUCAGCUUGUUGGUGAGGUAAUGGCUCACCAAGGCGACGACGGGUAGCCGGCCUGAGAGGGUGACCGGCCACACUGGGACUGAGACACGGCCCAGACUCCUACGGGAGGCAGCAGUGGGGAAUAUUGCACAAUGGGCGAAAGCCUGAUGCAGCGACGCCGCGUGAGGGAUGACGGCCUUCGGGUUGUAAACCUCUUUCAGUAGGGAAGAAGCGAAAGUGACGGUACCUGCAGAAGAAGCACCGGCUAACUACGUG
rnacentral:rRNA from 1 species